GACGAACGCUGGCGGCGUGCUUAACACAUGCAAGUCGAACGGUGACGCACCUUCGGGUGCUGAUCAGUGGCGAACGGGUGAGUAACACGUGGGCAACCUGCCCCUGACUCUGGGAUAACUCCUCGAAAGAGGUGCUAAUCCCGGAUAUCCCCCCCCUCGCAACCGGGGCGGUUUGAAGGUUUUUCGGUCGGGGAUGGCCCCGCGGCCUAUCAGCUAGUUGGUGGGGUAACGGCCCACCAAGGCGACGACGGGUAGCCGGCCUGAGAGGGCGACCGGCCACACUGGGACUGAGACACGGCCCAGACUCCUACGGGAGGCAGCAGUGGGGAAUAUUGCGCAAUGGGCGAAAGCCUGACGCAGCAACGCCGCGUGAGGGAUGACGGCCUUCGGGUUGUAAACCUCUUUCAGCGGGGACGAAGCGAAAGUGACUGUACCCGCAGAAGAAGCGCCGGCUAACUACGUGCCAGCCGCCGCGGUAAAAC
rnacentral:rRNA from 1 species